rnacentral:rRNA from 1 species
UACGUAGGGCAGCGAGCGUUGUUCGGAAUUACUGGGCGUAAAGAGUGUGUAGGCGGUGCUCUAAGUUCGGUGUGAAAUCUCCCUGGCUCAACUGGGAGGGUGCGCCGGAAACUGGAGUGCUUGAGCGUGGGAGAGGAAAGCGGGAAUUCCUGGUGUAGCGGUGAAAUGCGUAGAUAUCAGGAGGAACACCCUGUGGUGUAGACGGCUUUCUGGACCAUAGCUGACGCUGAGACACGAAAGCGUGGGUAGCAAACAGG